rnacentral:rRNA from 1 species
AUUGAACGCUGGCGGCAGGCCUAACACAUGCAAGUCGAGCGAGCGGCGGACGGGUGAGUAAUGUCUGGGGAACUGCCUGAUUGAGGGGGGUAACUAAUGGAAACGGUCGCUAAUACCGCAUACUGUCAGAUGUGCCCAUCUGGGAUUAGCUAGUAGGUUGGGUAAUGGCGCACCUGGGCGACGAUCCCUAGCUGGUUUGGGAGGAUGACCGGCAACACUGGAACUGAGACACGCUCCAGAUCCCUACGGGAGGCAGCAGUGGGGAAUAUUGAACAAGGGGCGCAAGCAUGACGAAGCCAUGCCGCGGGUUUGAAGAAGGCCUUAGGGUUGUAAAGUACUUUCAGCGGGGAGGCGUUACCCACAGAAGAAGCACCGGCUAACUACGUGCCAGCAGCCGCGGUAAUAC